CCCCUUUGGUGGAUGCUGACACCUGCCAUAACACUGGCUGAACUUGAGGAGCAAUGGCAAAGUAGAUCCCAGGACAGCAUCUUUGGGGCCCGAAGGAUUUGUUCUUCAGGCACUUUCUAAAGCAAAACAACUGGAUUCUCUGCUGCACACCUGCGGUCCUAAUCUCAACAGCAGGGACCCUGCAAAGGUGUCCAGGCCAUGACUUUAGACGACGACAGGAUCCAGACAAAACUCCGCCACAGCCGCUGUGCCACAGAGACCUGAACAGGGAGCUUUGGGACCUGGGUUUUGUGUUCCCUUUCCUUCCCCACCAAAUGUAGUAUAUAUAUUUGGUUAUAGAAAUCGUCGUUCUGUGUCAACAUCUUCAUGAGUAACAGUGAGCCUCGUGUCCAACCUGACAUUCCCACUGUAGCUCAGAUGGCCUCUGUAAGAACCCGCCCUUCAGCUCAGGAUACUUCCUGGCGCUGAACGAUGAAUACUCCACAUGAGAACGACUGAAGGUUCGCGUUCGUCUUGCCUUUCUUUCGGGGACAAAACACCCCUUCCUUUCUGUGCAAUUUUCUGAGUAUUUUCUAAUUGUCCCAUUUGUCUCCCGAAUAUACACAUCAAAUUAGCUACAGGGCCCAGGCCUAUCUUACAGAUAAAUUCUUACGAAGCAUUAUUAUUUAUUAAAUUAUUUAUUACCAUUAAUUUAUUUAAGUGGAAUUAAACUGUGGCUGUGAAUGAAUUUUCUUUGUACCUAAUGAGAUGAUAUGCUAUAGUAGGAAGAACUGGAUUUCGAGGGAAAAAUCUAAGUGUACAAGUAAAGGACUCUUUAUAAGCCCUUGUUAGCGGAGUAAAACUGGGCAACUCAUAAUUCCUGUUUAUCUGCUGCCCUAUGAAAUGUGAAUAAUCAUGCGUCCCUUGCCCAUUUCAUAUGUUUUUUAUGAAGAUCCAAUGAAAAAGGAAGUUAUUUUCGUAUGACAAGUAUCAAUGUCAGGAAUUCCUAUGCAGAUGGCACCCUCUGACUUCCACAUCCUUUUUCAGCAUGUGGUUUUCAUCAUCCUUUCUCUGUGUGUUAUAUGGAGCCUGGCUUCGGUUUCGAAAGUUUUGCUGUGUUGGAAACACCACAUGUAAAUUCCAUCCAGUCAUAGAGGAGAGCUUCAUUCUUCCUCAUUUCAUUAAGUAUGAACUGGGUGAUCACCGAGAGCAAACCACUGUUAGGGGGAAUAAAAGGGGCUUAGGGGACUUCGCAAGCCGCUUUUGCUUUCCGAAAGUAUGACAUGUCAUGAUGAAGCUGUGCAUCCAGCUCUCCAUACCCUGCGCCCCAGUGACAGCGUGCGUCCACUAUUACCAAGGAGCUCUCCAUACCCUGCACCCGAGUGACAGCACGUGUCCACUAUUACCAAGCAGCUCUCCAUACCCUGCACCCGAGUGACAGCAUGUGUCCACUCUUACCAAGGAGCUCUCCAUACCCUGCACCCGAGUGACAGCACGUGUCCACUCUUACCAAGGAGCUCUCCAUACCCUGCACCCGAGUGACAGCACGUGUCCACUCUUACCAAGGAGCUCUCCAUACCCUGCACCCGAGUGACAGCACGUGUCCACUAUUACCAAGCAGCUCUCCAUACCCUGCACCCGAGUGACAGCACGUGUCCACUCUUACCAAGGAGCUCUCCAUACCCUGCACCCGAGUGACAGCACGUGUCCACUAUUACCAAGGAGCUCUCCAUACCCUGCACCCGAGUGACAGCACGUGUCCACUCUUACCAAGGAGCUCUCCAUACCCUGCACCCGAGUGACAGCACGUGUCCACUAUUACCAAGCAGCUCUCCAUACCCUGCACCCGAGUGACAGCACGUGUCCACUCUUACCAAGGAGCUCUCCAUACCCUGCACCCGAGUGACAGCACGUGUCCACUAUUACCAAGCAGCUCUCCAUACCCUGCACCCGAGUGACAGCACGUGUCCACUCUUACCAAGGAGCUCUCCAUACCCUGCACCCGAGUGACAGCACGUGUCCACUAUUACCAAGCAGCUCUCCAUACCCUGCACCCGAGUGACAGCACGUGUCCACUCUUACCAAGGAGCUCUCCAUACCCUGCACCCGAGUGACAGCACGUGUCCACUAUUACCAAGGAGCUCUCCAUACCCUGCACCCGAGUGACAGCACGUGUCCACUCUUACCAAGGAGCUCUCCAUACCCUGCACCCGAGUGACAGCACGUGUCCACUAUUACCAAGCAGCUCUCCAUACCCUGCACCCGAGUGACAGCACGUGUCCACUCUUACCAAGGAGCUCUCCAUACCCUGCACCCGAGUGACAGCACGUGUCCACUAUUACCAAGGAGCUCUCCAUACCCUGCACCCGAGUGACAGCACGUGUCCACUCUUACCAAGGAGCUCUCCAUACCCUGCACCCGAGUGACAGCACGUGUCCACUAUUACCAAGGAGCUCUCCAUACCCUGCACCCGAGUGACAGCACGUGUCCACUCUUACCAAGGAGCUCUCCAUACCCUGCACCCGAGUGACAGCACGUGUCCACUAUUACCAAGCAGCUCUCCAUACCCUGCACCCGAGUGACAGCACGUGUCCACUCUUACCAAGGAGCUCUCCAUACCCUGCACCCGAGUGACAGCACGUGUCCACUAUUACCAAGGAGCUCUCCAUACCCUGCACCCGAGUGACAGCACGUGUCCACUCUUACCAAGGAGCUCUCCAUACCCUGCACCCGAGUGACAGCACGUGUCCACUAUUACCAAGCAGCUCUCCAUACCCUGCACCCGAGUGACAGCACGUGUCCACUCUUACCAAGGAGCUCUCCAUACCCUGCACCCGAGUGACAGCACGUGUCCACUAUUACCAAGCAGCUCUCCAUACCCUGCACCCGAGUGACAGCACGUGUCCACUAUUACCAAGCAGCUCUCCAUACCCUGCACCCGAGUGACAGCACGUGACCACUCUUACCAAGGAGCUCUCCAUACCCUGCACCCGAGUGACAGCACGUGUCCACUAUUACCAAGGAGCUCUCCAUACCCUGCACCCGAGUGACAGCACGUGUCCACUAUUACCAAGCAGCUCUCCAUACCCUGCACCCGAGUGACAGCACGUGUCCACUCUUACCAAGGAGCUCUCCAUACCCUGCACCCGAGUGACAGCACGUGUCCACUAUUACCAAGGAGCUCUCCAUACCCUGCACCCGAGUGACAGCACGUGUCCACUCUUACCAAGGAGCUCUCCAUACCCUGCACCCGAGUGACAGCACGUGUCCAUUAUUAUCAAGGAGCUCUCCAUACCCUGCACCCGAGUGACAGCACGUGUCCACUCUUACCAAGGAGCUCUCCAUACCCUGCACCCGAGUGACAGCACGUGUCCACUAUUACCAAGCAGCUCUCCAUACCCUGCACCCGAGUGACAGCACGUGUCCACUCUUACCAAGGAGCUCUCCAUACCCUGCACCCGAGUGACAGCACGUGUCCACUAUUACCAAGCAGCUCUCCAUACCCUGCACCCGAGUGACAGCACGUGUCCACUAUUACCAAGCAGCUCUCCAUACCCUGCACCCGAGUGACAGCACGUGACCACUCUUACCAAGGAGCUCUCCAUACCCUGCACCCGAGUGACAGCACGUGUCCACUCUUACCAAGGAGCUCUCCAUACCCUGCACCCGAGUGACAGCACGUGUCCAUUAUUAUCAAGGAGCUCUCCACACCCUGCACCCGAGUGACAGCACGCAUCCACUAUUACCAAGGAGCUCUCCAUACCCUGCACCCGAGUGACAGCGUGUGUCCACUAUUACCAAGGAGCUCUCCAUACCCUGCACCCAAGUGACAGCACGUGUCCACUGUUACCAAGGAGCUCUCCACACCCUGCACCCGAGUGACAGCACGUGUCCACUCUUACCAAGGAGCUCUCCAUACCCUGCACCCGAGUGACAGCACGUGUCCACUCUUACCAAGGAGCUCUCCAUACCCUGCACCCGAGUGACAGCACGUGUCCAUUAUUAUCAAGGAGCUCUCCACACCCUGCACCCGAGUGACAGCACGCAUCCACUAUUACCAAGGAGCUCUCCAUACCCUGCACCGAGUGACAGCACGUGUCCAUUAUUAUCAAGGAGCUCUCCAUACCCUGCACCCGAGUGACAGCACACAUCCACUAUUACCAAGGAGCUCUCCAUACCCUGCACCCGAGUGACAGCACGCAUCCACUAUUACCAAGGAGCUCUCCAUACCCUGAACCCGAGUGACAGCAUGUGUCCACUAUUACCAAGGAGCUCUCCAUACCCUGCACCCGAGUGACAGCAGGUGUCCACUAUUACCAAGGAGCUCUCCAUACCCUGCACCCGAGUGACAGCAGGUGUCCACUAUUACCAAGGAGCUCUCCAUACCCUGCACCCGAGUGACAGCACGUGUCCAUUAUUACCAAGGAGCUCUCCAUACCCUGCACCCCAAUGACAGUGUGCGCCCACUAUUACCAAGGAGCAAGGUGAGAGGCCUCGGGGUCAGGGGCCACCAGGUGUGCAUCCUGACCUGGCUGUGACACGCGGGGGAGGCUGAUCUUCCAGGUGAGGGUGGAGACUUGGGGUGCCAUCCUGUGCCAUGCAUCGGAGCAGGGAGGAGACAAAUGUGGCUGUGGGACCCAGGAUGUGAGGUGAGCUGGAAAGCCCAGCCUGCACCUCGGCUUUUCCGUAAGCAAUGAAGUCGUGGAUGAUUUCUGGGCCAGGGGCAGCAGGGUCCUGAGGAAGAAUCUCAUAGGAGGGAGAGUGAGCAGGAGCUUGGUAUCCUCAGUACUGAACCAUGCUCAGAGAAAUCCAAUCCUCAUAAAAUCUAUGUAUAGAACGGUGUCAAAUCCAAUCGCCCAUGGUGAUUUUAGGUAUUAAAACAGAUUUUUUGGAGAGCGGUUGCUAAGUAGGCUGAAGGCUGCCUUAAGGAGCACGUACGUGUGUGGUUCCUGACGUGUGAGCCUUGGCGGGUGCACACACCUCACUAAAGCGGUGAAUUAAAGUGUGAAGGACACCAUAUCUAAGAAUUUAAAUGUCUAAGCACCUAAGGUGGACCUCAUGCAGAACAUCAUAUGGCAACCACCCUUAUCUAAGUUGUAAGCCCUGCAGCAGAUGCCUGAAACCAUGGACAGAAACAAACCCCAGCCAAGACCCUCUGCAUGGCACAGCUGGCAAUGACAAAAUGCAAGUGGGGCCACCCCACACUCACCCCACCCCCACCAAACCCUCUCAGCCUUGUGGCAGAGCCUGGCCUGCUCCCAUGGUUCAGCAGAGGGCAGAGUGUGUUGCUCUCAGCGAAUGGAACCCCUGCAUUCCCCUAAGGGAGUGGCAAAAGGCUGUCCAACAACUCAUGAAGAACUUGCUCCCUCAGCCUUUCUGAGGGUGAACUUGGGUCCGGUUCCAGUGGGUGGAUGGAAAUGAAGGAAUACCAUGAAGGCUUUCCUUCCCGGAGAUGGAACCACGGUGCUUCUUCAGGGGUGGUGCCCCAUUUCCCUUCUUUCCUACCUAAAAAGAAGAUAUGUUAUCUUGAAAUACAGCCACCAUUUUGCAAAUAUAAGGCAAUGAACAUGAGGAUAAAACCCACAAGCUAAGGAUGGUGCCACGGGAGGACGGAAAGAUACUGGGAGAAAACCACAGCAAACAGCCGGAUUUCUCGUUCAGUGAGAAGAGCAAGCCCUAUUCACUCAAACCACCGUAAGCUGAGAGGAUUUCACAGCACACACGGCCCCUCCUGGACGGAGUCCCCAGGUUUUCACAAUGCCAGCACCCCAGGGCCACACACGCUGACAAAAGGACCCACGGCAGGGCUUGGGCCACGCUGACAAGUGAGUUUUUCCUUUCUCCAUUUGUGUUUUCCCUGAGGUACAUACAUGCAGAAACCUAAAACUUAGGUAAACAUGUGCACAUUAGAAGUCUAUUGACUUAACAAAAGAAGUUCAACUAUAAAAAGAAAGCUUGAUACAAAGUGUUUAUUUUUAAAUUAUCUUGAGAGAAUUAAUCAAAUCUCGUAUCACUAAUCAAUAACCCAUGCAUCAAAGAACAGACCCUGUCACUCAGCUCGUCUGAAAAGACACUGCUUUUUCCUUUUCAGGUUUAAUAAUUUCACUAUUACUACACUAGGAAGUUAUUAACCCUAGGCAACACCAACAUAGAGCAAUAACCGAAG
rnacentral:lncRNA from 1 species